rnacentral:misc_RNA from 1 species
AACCUUAUGGACCUGCGGGCGUAUACCUGCGGAAGGAUCAUUACACAAUACAAUAUGAAGGCUGUCCGCAGCUGGAGUAUUUUAUUACCCUUGUCUUUUGCGCACUUGUUGUUUCCUGGGCGGGUUCGCUCGCCACCAGGACCACCAAAUAAACCUUUUUUAUGCAGUUGCAAUCAGCGUCAGUACAAACAAUGUAAAUCAUUUACAACUUUUAACAAUGGAUCUCAGAUCGGAAGAGCA